rnacentral:rRNA from 1 species
CGUGCCUAACACAUGCAAGUCGUACGAGAAAGCCGGCUUCGGCUGGUGAGUAAAGUGGCGCACGGGUGAGUAACGCGUGGAUAAUCUGCCCUUAAGGUGUGGAAUAACGUACCGAAAGGUGCGCUAAUACCGCAUAAUGCCUGGCAACACAAGUUGUCCGGCCAAAGAAGGCCUCUGUUUACAAGCUUUCGCUUCAGGAUGAGUCCGCGUACCAUUAGCUUGUUGGUGGGGUAAUGGCCUACCAAGGCUGCGAUGGUUAGCUGGUCUGAGAGGAUGAUCAGCCACACUGGAACUGAGACACGGUCCAGACUCCUACGGGAGGCAGCAGUGAGGAAUAUUGCGCAAUGGGGGCAACCCUGACGCAGCAACGCCGCGUGAGUGAGGAAGGUUCUCGGACUGUAAAGCUCUGUCGAGCGGGAAGAAGUGUACCAUGGCUAAUAUCCAUGAUAUUUGACGGUACCGCUAGAGGAAGCACCGGCUAACUCCGUG